GCACUGCCCUCAAACACAGGUGYAACACAAACGUCAAGUUCCUAGCCAGGCAGACAUAAUUUCUAGGUGAAGAAAGCCUACAGACCAUUUGAACAGUAAGAAAAGACGUCAUGCAGCACUCUAACGUCUGUUGGUCCUUGACGAUAUGGAUGGUCCAGCUGGUCUUGAUUGUUCUCACUGUUCAAGCUGAAAACUGCACCAAACCCAUAGGAGGGCCAAACAUGGUUUUGUCAGAUGCCUUCAUCACGCAAGAGACAUUUGUAGAUGGCGCAAAAGUCACUUUUCAGUGUGCAAUUGGAUAUGCCAAUACAGGACGGUCUCCUUCAGUCACCUGUACUGCUGGCGUGUGGAGUGAAGUGAAACUGACAUGCGAAAGGAAGUCGUGUGGCACCCCAGGAGAAGUGAUGAACGGCCAGUUUAAUCUCUCUGAGGGGAUCUUGUUUGGAGACAAGGCAGUUGCUACCUGUAACACUGGCUAUAUGCUUGUGGGCAGCGGUGUAAGGACCUGUAUGGAUGGAGGCUGGGAUGGCAGACUUCCUGUAUGUGAAGGUUGGUAAUCUGAAGGAGCAUGUCAAGUGAAAAUAACAUUAACAGUUCUGUGCAUGUGCUUGAAUCAUCUCUUCAUAACUGCUGUUGUGCUCUAAUCUGCAGUGYUGAAGUGUGMAAAGCCCCCAAACAUUGUCAACGGUGGGCCUGUUGUCCCACCUGAAGAUACGUAUGACUAUGGAAGUGUAGUGCAAUAUGGCUGUGAGAAGGAUUACACUCUGGUUGGAACUAAAUCCAUAUCCUGCCGUGAGAAUGGAGAAUUCCAGCCAGCUCCACCUGAGUGUAAAAUGGUCUCAUGUCCUCCUCCUGRUGUUGAGAAUGGCGUUCGGAUUGKAGGCCYUCCCCCKUAUACGRACAAGUCUUUUGUGAKGUAUGGGUGUAACGCUGGAUAUGAGAUGGUGGGACAAGACAGUCUGACCUGUGAAAUAGAAGGCUGGUCAGCUCUUUACCCUACAUGCGAAGAUCGUGUACCUGACGCCACUCAUACAACCCCAGACCCCAACAACAAUGCUGGGAAAAUAGGCAGUGUUGUAGGUGUACUUGUGCCAAGUCUUCUACUUUACCUCAGUCUCCUCCUGCUUCAUUGAGAAGGAAGGAGUCACAGUAAAAUGGCUGCUGUGAUGUCCCCUGAAUCUACCACCCUCCCAAACACCGGGAAUGAUUCAUAUGCUUUAAAAGGAAUCUCUAUUACACGAUGAUUAGAAACCUCCCGAUGAAUGUAUUGGUUCAUUUCCAUUUGGAAGCUUGUGCUUAAGGAGUGGCCUAACUUGAUUACUUGUAUGUUUCCAGUGUACUUCACAAAUCACUCCUAGUGUGAUCCUGAUUUAUCUCAUUGCAACAUUCUCAUGUUAAAAUUCACCCAUAUGUAUGGUCGCUGCUUUUCUGGGUGAACUUGCCUCACAAAGCCAGUUUUGCCACCUCUGGGGGGGGGGGGGGAGAAAUUGAAGGAAAUCAUAUCUGUUAAGAUAAGCAUUUGUAAUUUAGUUGAUGCUCUUAUCCAGAGCAACUUACAGUAGUGAGUGCAUACAUUUUCAUACAAGACCCACAGUAUAUGUGAUGCAGUUGGACACAAGGUCUUUAUAUGUAAGUCAUACCACCAAAGGCCACCACUGGUUUGAUAGACCAGGUUGCAGAUGUGUUGAACCUAUCCUAUAGCUCAUGAACAUCUGGUUCAAUGGGCUUUCACCAAGUUUUGCUCUAGUCAUUGAUAAGUCUUAAUUGUGUUGUGACGUGAAUCUGAAAAGCUUGGUUUUAUUAGGAUAACUCUUGGAACACCGGAGACAAUGAAUGAAUGCUAAAGGAAAUUAUGUUUUAUACUUAUUUUGUUAGUUAUUUGAGGGAUCAAGAACUCUUGCUCAUGAUCCAGCUUUGGAAUCUUUAUUUGAACUUAUAGCCUAUUUGUAUUGUUCUACUGUAGAUAAGCCAAAAAUAUUUAUUUUAAAUGUAAAUACGUUUUAAUGAAAAUGUUGCAAGAGUCUCUUCCAACAGGACCACUGGAUCAUGGUGUUCUAUAGGGAGGAAACCUGCAGCUCUGUAAUAAUCAGGCUCAGCUUAGUGCAUUUUGAAUGUUCAAAGUGCUCUGCAUUCUUCACUUUGCCUUAUCAAGGGAAAAUACCAAACAUUCUGCAGUUGUACCCUUUAUUUAUUUUGCAUUAUCUUGACAGACAUUUCCCUCUGCCCUUUUUAUUACAUUGCUUGGUUGACUCUUUUACAGGUUGUCCUGUUUUUUUCUUAAUGAAAGUAACAGAUGUAAUGUGUUGUGUGAGAUCUAAUAGCACUUGUUUUCAUAACACUAGGGGUUGCUUCAUAUGAAACCAGGUUCUUAUUUAGUAGGGCAAGAUUAGAAUGUUGCAAAUAAAAGUAUAAUAAAUAUUGGAGUUCAGUGUC